AGACGUCUACAUUAGAUACCCGUGUAGUCCCAGCCGUAAACUAUGCGCGUUAGGUGUAUCGGUGACCACGAGUCACCGAGGUGCCGAAGGGAAACCGUGAAACGUGCCGCCUGGGAAGUACGGUCGCAAGGCUGAAACGUUAAAGGAAUUGGCGGGGAGCACCACAACGGGUGGAGCCUGCGGUUUAAUUGGACUCAACGCCGGGAAGCUCACCGGAUAAGACAGCGGAAUGAUUGCCGGGCUGAAGACUCUGCAUGACUAGCUG
rnacentral:rRNA from 1 species